AAAUGCAGAGCACUCAUGGUUGGGAGUGCUGCAGGAAAAAUCCAUCCCACUGUCCUGGAAAGCUCAGCACUUGAACACUGGAGAGGGAAGAGAGAAAUGCAGCUCUCCUGUACAAUGUCUUCCAGGGAAAAUUUCUUCUUGGCCUAAAGUUUGGCACCAGGAGACAGGUGAGACCUUCCUCAAUCAGCCUCAAUUGGGAGGAAAUUGAAAGCAGAGAUAGGAACCAGCUGUGGGCAAUUUGAAUUGCAUUCAUCAUUCAAUUAACUUUGCAUCAGUAUGUGAUGCAGAGAUGGAGAGUUCUGAUAAUGCAGUGAACUAUUACUCCGGAAUCCUCUGGACUUUCAGGACUUUUUGAUGACUUGCCUGAUAAGAAGACUACUGAGAUGAAGACCAUAAUCCCUGGAGGAGCCCUUCAGGGCACUGAACUCCUUAGGAAAUCAGCUGCUGCUGGUGAAGGCCGGACCUGUUUGGAAACUGUAGCCACAAAAGCCAGACUUUCCAGUGUAAUCAGGCCAUUAAACCUCCUGUGGGAAUUUUUAAGGCUGGCUUUAUCUGCCCUGCAGAGAGGAGUGUGGGGAGAGGCUGUUGCGCCAUUGUUCCUCCUGCUGAUGACGCAGACUGGAAUUGCUUCUCCUUGAACGCUGCCUCCAUUGGGGUGAAGCCUGGCUUUGUGUUGUCCUAAUCCCUCACUCCAGACCACAGUGACCACAUGACGUUACAGUAGCCCUGAGGCUGCUCCCUUGUUCUAACACGUGCCACCAGCAAACUGCUCAAAAAGAUAAAAUCUUUGACUAGACUCUGACCCAGUGUCUCAAAACGUUGGUCUGUGAGCAGUCCAGUUGGAUUUGGACUUUACCAACAUAAACAACUGCUUAGAAAAUCCAGAGCCUUGUUUCCUUUCUUUCAUAUCCUCUGUCCUGUCUUCUGUCAUUACAUGUUUCAGCCCAUGACUAUAGACUUUGCUGGAAAGAGUCAGUCUCUCUGGGAGUUACAAAUGUUCAUGCAGUCUCAUCCCCAUUUUUGGAUCAGAGGGAUGGACUUGGAGUGAAGAGGAAGUUUUCUCGUGAUGUAAGAUUGUUUCAAGAUUUUGAUUUUCAGUAUUUUCCUCCCAAACUGCAGUGAGUUUUAUUGUAAUUUUGUGUUUCCUGGUAAUUGACAAAAAAAAAUAAAAAUCCAAACUGGUUGGCAGCAGCAGAAAAGGCACAUAAGGUACCCAAACCUUCUAAAACAAGAACAGUUCUGGCCUGUUCCAAGAUGCCUCCCCCUCCCAAAAUGUUAAACUGGGAGAUUGCUGAAGCUGUUCUGUUCCCAUAGCUGGAUUAGACCUCAGUGAAUCAGCCCUCUGAGAAAUCUCCUUGGGGAAUUCCUGGCAGGCUGUACCCCAGCAUCCCUUGCUGACUAAGUUGGGGGCUUCCUCAAGUAGAGCUGCUGUGUAGGAUGGUGGAUCAAAGCCUUGGUGCUGCAAUCCUGGAGCCCAGUUGUGGAUCACUGAGGAUGGGGAAAAGCCCUGCCCCAUCCUACCUCCCUUUUGUCCUCAAAAUUCCCCAGAAUGGGAGGGAGCUGAGCCCUUCACUGUAGGUGCUGGAUCUGGGAUGAUAGCACACUCAUCUGAGCUCCUGGCUGCACUGAGCCCCAGGCUGCUGCUCUCCCAGGAAUGUCAGGGAAUGCUGGGCUACCUGAGAGACUGGGGCACCAGGCAGGAGUGUGGGAGCCAAAACAUGUACCUGCAGCCUCCCAGACACUGGAAAGCCUCUUGGCUCAGGGGUGUAGAUUUGCCAUGAUGCUGCAAAGGAAAGAUAAAAAGGAUUUGUGUUGCUUAGGAGCUCACCAAAAUUUGUUGGAAUAAACUGGAAGGCAGAAUUCAUCCCAGGAGGCAUUAGACACAGGCAGAGAGAUUUUACUUUUGAGCUUUUAACUUGAUUUGCCUCAUAUGACAUGCCUGCCUUUUCUCUAUUUGGAGUUAUCUUGUCCUGUUUGAACCUUUUUAGUGCUUUAAUAAAACCCAGCCAUGGGGCCAGAAGCCUUUGACUUCUGGCUUGGCUGCCUCCAAGACCAGAUGUGGCAAUUUCACUCCCAAUCCCUCUGAUUCAACCCAGUCCCAAACAGCUUUUAACUGAUGAAGAAAAGGAGACAAAUGCUUGUCAAAGUUGCUCUGGUUGAAAGGAGCAGAGAUGGACGACUGUUUUGGCCAUCAGGGCUCCAGCUCCCUGCCCAGCCAGGAGAAUUUGCUGCCUGCAGUGCUCAAUAAUGUGUGUUUAAAUGGGGGCUGUUCUGCACAUACUAAUUUUGAGCUGUACAUUUUCUUCCAGGAAAUCUGUAUUUGGCUUUAUAACUUCCUAGGAAUAGUUUGUGCAUUGGAAAACCCCCUCCUGCCAUAUGGGAAAGAGCAUUCUUACUUAUGCCCUGUAAAGUAUACAUGAAGUUUUUUUAAUGAAAUGAACUUCCAAAAAUUGCAGAAGUUUGGAAUUUUCAGGGGCUUUGAUGAAAUAG